UUACUACUUUGAAAGAUGACAUCACUCAAACUCAAGAAGCUCAUGAAUCUAAAAUGGUUUCCCCUAGAUAAAGGAAAAGAAAACAGCAUACAUUAAAGUUAUAGGUACUAAAAUCAUCCCUGCCUUUAAGUCUUAGAUUCUCUGUAUUAUCAUGGAAAAGCCUCGGGUUUUCAUGCACCCACACUGCUGAGUAGGGAACCAUGAUGCACUGUUGGAGGGAUUGGAAACUGGUGACACUGUGGACAUGGUACAGAGAUUCCUCAAAACAUUAA